CUUUUCUGCUUUUGUUUCUGCAGUUGGUGACAAGAAGCCAUCUAUCUUACUGAACCCAGAGAAUGUGGUCUUUGACGAAUGUGGCAGGAGGGAUGAACGGAUGCAGUCACGGGCUCGUGUUGUAGGAGGACGCCCUGGGAACUCACCUUGGACAGUCAGCAUCCGCAAUCGGGAAGGAAUCCAUUUCUGUGGAGGGUCGCUGGUGAAGGAGCAGUGGGUCAUCAGCACACGUCAGUGUUUCUCCUCUUGGUAAGCAUCUUGUUUGGCUUUUCUCUGGGGAUGCACUGUCAUUAGGAAACAGUAGUUUUUCCCAAGGGAGUCCAAAGGAAAUACAUUUUGUGGUGGAGCAUUAUGCAGGGGGACAGUGAUGGAAAACUGAUCAAGGUGGGCUUGCCUUGCUUGAAAAGCUAAAUUUAGUACUAGAUGCAAAACUAACAUGGAAAUAAUAGGGACAGGUUCCUGCACCACAAAAAAAGAACAGUUCAAUACAUUUCACAAAAUUGUUUAUCCAAAACUAACAAUAUGCACAUAUGAAACAACCAUGUCAGGCAAACAUUUCCUAAGUAAAAACUUUUUGAAAGUUCUAGAUAUCACCUGAAGGCUUCUUCUA